GGCAACGGGGAGAGAGCGAGAGAGCCAAAAGUCCCUCUCUUGAAUUUUCUCAAUCCUCUUGUCGGAAUUCCUCCUCCUCUCGCCGCCGACGUUGUCUAUCCUUCGCAGCAACUACGGAGAUUCUUCUGUCGCUUUCGGCUUCUCUGGCUAAUAUUCUCCGACUUCCGCAUCCCGAAAAAAAGUUCACUUUUUGUAUUUCCUUUUUUUUCUUCGUUUGUUCGUUCUUAGAUUUUACUGUGCCGUCUCAUGGCUAGAGGAUAAGGUGGGGCGAUGAGGAGAAUCAGUGUAUCGUUUGUCAAAUUGAGUAAAUUUGUAGCGAUCCGGAUAGUAUCGAAACCCUAGCUCUGAUUUGUGUUCUGAUUCGCCAUGGAAGUGCGCUAGUACUUACUAAUUUGCGGUUCACGUGCUACGAUUUGUAUUUUUUUGAUCGGGGAGAUCGAUUUAUGUGAUUAGAUUAUUGGGGGGUGGGGGAUUUCUGGGUUUUUCUGGAAUUUUGGUGAUGGAUUUGAAUAGCGAGUGCAACGGUGGGGAUGGGUUCAUCGAUAGGAGCAAAGUCAGGAUUCUGCUUUGCGACAACGAUUCGAAGAGCUUGAAAGAGGGUUUCACUCUCCUCACUGAAUGUUCUUAUCAGGUCACUUCAGUGAGGUCAGCCAGGCAAGUGAUUGAUGCUCUCAAUGCUGAGAGGGCUGAUAUCGAUAUAAUACUGGCCGAAGUCGAUCUUCCAAUGUCCAAGGGUAUGAAGAUGUUGAAGUACAUUACACGGGACAAAGAUCUUCGCAGGAUUCCUGUGAUCAUGAUGUCGAGGCAAGACAAGGUUUCUGUUGUGGUCAAGUGCUUAAAGCUAGGGGCAGCAGACUACCUUGUGAAGCCUCUUCGAACCAAUGAGCUUCUGAACUUGUGGACACACAUGUGGAGAAGAAGACGCAUGCUUGGACUCUCUGAGAAGAAUAUCUUGAGCUAUGAUUUCGAUCUUGUGGGAUCUGAUCCAAGUGAUGCAAACACAAAUAGUACAAACCUGUUCUCUGACGACACAGAUGACAAGAGUCUUAGGUGCACCAAUCUGCAGACUUUAACUUCGAAGAAUCCGGAAAAUGAGUGCUCUAUUGCUGCUAUCUCUGCUAGUGAUCAUGCUGGUGAUGGCUGUGGUGCUGCUGAUGGAACAGUCACUUCUCCUCCCGCUGUUGCAGCUAUGGAGCCUCCAUCUACUCAUCCGGCUGGGUCUCACCCCUAUGAGCCAGCGGAAAGAGAUACCAAUGAAGGACAAUUUUCUUUUGGUCCGAAGAAAAGUAAAUUGAAGAUUGGCGAGUCUUCUGCUUUCUUCACAUAUGUCAAGUCCACUGUCUUGAAAGCUAACUGCCAGGAUUGUUCCCAAGUCAAUGAGUAUGGCUCAAACCAUCAUUGUGUAGAAGAGAAGAAGCUACGAGCUGCCGAUGAAAGUACUACAAACACCAAUCAAACAUGCAGCAGUAGAGAGACUCAAGAAAACUAUUCACAAGGAGAUGACUUUCACAGUGGCACCAGCUUUCUGGAUUCCCUGGAGCGCUCUUGCACGCCUCCCAUGUCGAUGGAGUUCCGCAACAGGAGUUACGGAGAAGGAAAAAGGAAUGCAUCUCGAGGUCCAAUGGAAACAGGUAAGGAAUCAUCUCAAGACGGUGUUUCUGGUUUCUCCGGACAAACCCAUUAUCCAUAUUAUAUGCAUGGGGUCGUGAACCAUGCUAUGAUGCAACCAGCUGCCCAUCAUGUUCAUGCCUCAUCAGGAAUGCAGGCUCAAUAUGGUCAUCAACUUCCACUGCAUUGCCCUCCCAAUCAUCCGAAUGGAAUGAGUAGAUUCCCUUAUUACCACCCAAUGGGCGUGUCAUUACAGCACGGUCAGAUGUCAUUACAGCAUGGGCAGAUGCCUGUGGUUCAUCACCCCUGGCCAACAGAAGGAAAUGUGUCUUCGAACGAGGUGAAGCUGAAUAAAGUUGACAGAAGAGAAGAAGCACUAAUCAAAUUCAGGCGGAAAAGGAAUCAACGGUGCUUUGAUAAGAAGAUUCGAUAUGUGAAUAGGAAACGUCUUGCCGAGAGGAGACCGCGUGUAAGGGGUCAGUUUGUAAGGAAAGUGAAUGGGGUGAAUGUUGAUCUUAACGGGCAGCCUGCCUCUGCCGAGUAUGAUGAUGAGGAUGAGGACGAGGAAGAAGAGGAGGGUCGAGAUUUAUCUCCCCAGGACAAGCCCUUGGAAACUUAAACAUCAUGCUUCAGUAAAGAAGGAAUGAUGCUCCUGUCAGAAAUGUGUGCUAUCUUUGUUCAAGCUUGGGCACUGAACGAACCAUCCAGAAAUCCUGUGGUCUGGUCCUCACAUAGAUCUGGCUCGAUGGUGUGACAUGGCCCGGGACCAGAUUGGUUCAUGUGUUCCAGUUUCAUAUCUGUAGUGUUCAGGGUUAUGUAUGGUUGAGGCUUUCGCUCUGAGUUUCCUGAAAGCUUCAAAUCUCUUCUCGAAGGAGAAGGUCCCAAUUCUAUUACAUUGUCCGGACAGAUGACAUGGUGAUGCAACAUGAACGAUCCACACGAGUUUUGUUCUUAUCCUCCUGGUGGUGAAACCCUGCCACUUCUGCUUAGGAAGAGAAACCAAUGCAUGACGCUGAAGAACGGAUCAUGCAUUUAUUAGGAACUAUGAACAUGAAUCAGCUACUAAAGCAGUCCUUUCAUGAAGAGAGCAAACAAAUAGUUCAUGUUUUCUGUACAAUCUGGCAUUUCCCCAGUCCGUACAAAAGGGUAUAAAUGUUUACUCUGCA